GAUGAACGCUGACAGAAUGCUUAACACAUGCAAGUCUACUUGAAUUUGGGUUUUUAACUUAGGUUUGGGUGGCGGACGGGUGAGUAACGCGUAAAGAACUUGCCUCACAGCUAGGGACAACAUUUAGAAAUGAAUGCUAAUACCUAAUAUUAUGAUAAUAGGGCAUCCUAUAAUUAUGAAAGCUAUAUGCGCUGUGAGAGAGCUUUGCGUCCCAUUAGCUAGUUGGAGAGGUAACGGCUCACCAAGGCGAUGAUGGGUAGCCGGCCUGAGAGGGUGAUCGGCCACAAGGGGACUGAGACACGGCCCUUACUCCUACGGGAGGCAGCAGUGGGGAAUAUUGGACAAUGGACCGAGAGUCUGAUCCAGCAAUUCUGUGUGCACGAUGAAGUUUUUCGGAAUGUAAAGUGCUUUCAGUUGGGAAGAAAGAAAUGACGGUACCAACAGAAGAAGUGACGGCUAAAUACGUGCCAGCAGCCGCGGUAAUACGUAUGUCACGAGCGUUAUCCGGAUUUAUUGGGCGUAAAGCGCGUCUAGGUGGUUAUAUAAGUCUGAUGUGAAAAUGCAGGGCUCAACUCUGUAUUGCGUUGGAAACUGUAUAACUAGAGUACUGGAGAGGUAAGCGGAACUACAGGUGUAGAGGUGAAAUUCGUAGAUAUUUGUAGGAAUGCCGAUGGGGAAGCCAGCUUACUGGACAGAUACUGACGCUGAAGCGCGAAAGCGUGGGUAGCAAACAGG
rnacentral:rRNA from 1 species